CAGUGAUGACAUCAGCUUUGUAUGGGAAGAAGGAUGUUGUCGACCUAAUCGUGUCAAAAGGAGUUGAUCUCACACUAAGAAAUGACAAGAAUAACACCCUCCUUCAUGUGGCAUGUCAAAGUGGAAAUAGUCCCAUUGUAGAAUAUCUGCUUCCACUGUUUGACAUCAAUUGUCGUGGAGAGGUGGGUUUUACACCAGUGAUGAUAGCAGCACUUUGCAUGGACAGAAGGAUGUUGUCGACCUGCUCGUGUCAAAGGGAGCUGAUCUCACACUAAGAAAUAACAAGAAUGACACCGUACUUCAUGUGGCAAGUCAAAGUGGAAAUAGUCCCAUUGUAGAACAUCUGCUUCCACUGUUUGAUAUCAAUUGUCGUGGACAAGUGGGUUUUACACAAGUAAUGA